rnacentral:tmRNA from 2 species
GGGGGCGUAAUGGGUUCGACGGGGGCAGUUGAGGUAUAAGGAGCAUGCCGAGGUCUGUCGCCUCGUAAAACAGGCAGAAAACCAAUAAGUGCCGACGAUUAUUCUUACGCACUGGCUGCUUAAGCGGCCACGUCCUGCUGGGACCUGCUCAUCGGCCCCAUGCACGGGCGUCAAACAAGGAUGAGCAAACCCGACGGCUUUGGCCCCUUGAGCCGACGGGGAACUGAAAGGGGACGGGAUACGGAAAGCCUGUCUGCGGGCCGACCAUAUCUGGGUUGAAAAUACACAGACUACGCAUGUAGCCGCCUUGUGCCAAAGGCCUUCGGACGGGGGUUCGAUUCCCCCCGCCUCCACCA